rnacentral:rRNA from 1 species
AUCGCUCUUUGUAAAUAUAAAAUAAGGAGUCGUACCUGCCCGGUGAAAAAUUUAACGGCCGCAGUACCCUGACUGUGCAAAGGUAGCAUAAUCAUUUGCCUUUUAAUUGAAGGCUGGAAUGAAUGGUUUGACGAAAUUCUUCUGUCUCUAUCUUAUUAAAUAGAAUUUAAUUUUUAGGUGAAGAAGCCUGAAUGAAGUCAAAAGACGAAAAGACCCUGUCGAACUUUAGAGUAAUUAUGAAAUUAUAUGCUUUUUAGAAUAAAUGUUUUUUAGAAUUUCUCUUUUGUUGGGGUGACAGAAGAACAGAUAAAGCUUCUUUUAGUUGAGGAAACUUAUAUGUUGAAAAGAUCCAUAAAAAUUUAUGAUAGUAAGAUAAGUUACCGCAGGGAUAACAGCGUUAUUUUUCUGGAGAGUUCAAAUUGAAGGAAAAGAUUGCGACCUCGAUGUUGGAUUGGAAUACCUAAUAGGCGGAGAAGCUUGUUGUUGGGGGUCUGUUCGACCUUUAAAUUUCCACAUG